ACAACAUUGUCAAUGCACAUAACACUACUGAGCUGUAUACUUUAAAAUGGUCAACAUGGCAAAUUUUGUGUUAUGUGUAUUUAACCACAGUAAAAAUGUUGUUGUUGUUGUUGUUGUUGUUGUUGUUUUGGGAUGAAGUCUCUGUUGCACUCCAACUGGGGCAACAAGAGCGAAACUCGGUCUCAAGAAAAAACAAACUGUGUGUGUGUG
rnacentral:lncRNA from 1 species